CAGUAGCCGCGGUAAUACGAAGGGGGCUAGCGUUGUUCGGAAUUACUGGGCGUAAAGCGCACGUAGGCGGACAUUUAAGUCAGGGGUGAAAUCCCGGGGCUCAACCUCGGAACUGCCUUUGAUACUGGGUGUCUCGAGUCCGGAAGAGGUAAGUGGAACUGCGAGUGUAGAGGUGAAAUUCGUAGAUAUUCGCAAGAACACCAGUGGCGAAGGCGGCUUACUGGUCCGGUACUGACGCUGAGGUGCGAAAGCGUGGGGAGCAAACAGGAUUAGAUACCCCCGUAGUCCCUGUCUCUUAUAA
rnacentral:rRNA from 1 species